rnacentral:rRNA from 1 species
UCAGUGGAGAGUUUGAUCCUGGCUCAGGAUGAACGCUGGCGGCGUGCCUAAUACAUGCAAGUCGAACGAAUCUCUUUUAGAGAUGAGUGGCGAACGGGUGAGUAAUACAUAGGUAACCUGCCCCUGUGCGGGGGAUAACAGGAGGAAACUCCUGCUAAUACCGCAUAGCCAUGAGCACCGCAUGGAGCUCAUGCCAAAUAUCCUUUAUGGGAUAGCGCAGGGAUGGACCUAUGGCGCAUUAGCU